GGAAUUACUGGGCGUAAAGCGCACGCAGGCGGUCUGUCAAGUCGGAUGUGAAAUCCCCGGGCUCAACCUGGGAACUGCAUUCGAAACUGGCAGGCUAGAGUCUUGUAGAGGGGGGUAGAAUUCCAGGUGUAGCGGUGAAAUGCGUAGAGAUCUGGAGGAAUACCGGUGGCGAAGGCGGCCCCCUGGACAAAGACUGACGCUCAGGUGCGAAAGCGUGGGGAGCAAACAGGAUUAGAUACCCUGGUAGUCCACGCUGUAAACGAUGUCGAUUUGGAGGUUGUGCCCUUGAGGCGUGGCUUCCGGAGCUAACGCGUUAAAUCGACCGCCUGGGGAGUACGGCCGCAAGGUUAAAACUCAAAUGAAUUGACGGGGGCCCGCACAAGCGGUGGAGCAUGUGGUUUAAUUCGAUGCAACGCGAAGAACCUUACCUGGUCUUGACAUCCACAGAACUUUCCAGAGAUGCUUUGGUGCCUUCGGGAACUGUGAGACAGGUGCUGCAUGGCUGUCGUCAGCUCGUGUUGUGAAAUGUU
rnacentral:rRNA from 1 species